AAUGAACGUUGGCGGCAUGGAUUAGGCAUGCAAGUCGAGCGAGAAGUGUAGCAAUACACGGAAAGCGGCGGAAGGGAGAGUAAUACGUGGGAAUCUGCCCUUAGACCUGGGAUAGCAGCGGGAAACUGCUGGUAAUACCAGAUAAUGUCUAUGGACCAAAGGUGUGAUUCCGUCUAGGGAUGAGCCCACGUCCUAUUAGCUAGUUGGUAGGGUAAUGGCCUACCAAGGCGAUGAUGGGUAGCGGGUGUGAGAGCAUGACCCGCCUCACUGGGACUGAGACACUGCCCAGAAACCUAGGGGUGGCUGCAGUCGAGAAUCUUCGGCAAUGGGCGCAGGCCUGACCGAGCGAUGCCGCGUGCGGGAUGAAGGCCUUCGGGUUGUAAACCGCUGUCGAGGGGGAGCAACUUCCAUAGAGUUAUCUUUAUGGAUUGAGUGAUCCCUGGAGGAAGGACGGGCUAAGUUCGUGCCAGCCGCCGCCGUAAUAC
rnacentral:rRNA from 1 species